rnacentral:rRNA from 1 species
GACGAACGCUGGCGGCGUGCUUAACACAUGCAAGUCGAACGGAAAGGCCCUGCUUUUGUGGGGUGCUCGAGUGGCGAACGGGUGAGUAACACGUGAGUAACCUGCCCUUGACUUUGGGAUAACUUCAGGAAACUGGGGCUAAUACCGGAUAGGAGCUCCUGCUGCAUGGUGGGGGUUGGAAAGUUUCGGCGGUUGGGGAUGGACUCGCGGCUUAUCAGCUUGUUGGUGGGGUAGUGGCUUACCAAGGCUUUGACGGGUAGCCGGCCUGAGAGGGUGACCGGCCACAUUGGGACUGAGAUACGGCCCAGACUCCUACGGGAGGCAGCAGUGGGGAAUAUUGCACAAUGGGCGGAAGCCUGAUGCAGCAACGCCGCGUGCGGGAUGACGGCCUUCGGGUUGUAAACCGCUUUCGCCUGUGACGAAGCGUGAGUGACGGUAAUGGGUAAAGAAGCACCGGCUAACUACGUGCCAGCAGCCGCGGUGAUACGUAGGGUGCGAGCGUUGUCCGGAUUUAUUGGGCGUAAAGGGCUCGUAGGUGGUUGAUCACGUCGGAAGUGUAAUCUUGGGGCUUAACCCUGAGCGUGCUUUCGAUACGGGUUGACUUGAGGAAGGUAGGGGAGAAUGGAAUUCCUGGUGGAGCGGUGGAAUGCGCAGAUAUCAGGAGGAACACCAGUGGCGAAGGCGGUUCUCUGGGCCUUUCCUGACGCUGAGGAGCGAAAGCGUGGGGAGCGAACAGGCUUAGAUACCCUGGUAGUCCACGCUGUAAACGGUGGGUACUAGGUGUGGGGUCCAUUCCACGGGUUCCGUGCCGUAGCUAACGCUUUAAGUACCCCGCCUGGGGAGUACGGCCGCAAGGCUAAAACUCAAAGGAAUUGACGGGGCCCCGCACAAGCGGCGGAGCAUGCGGAUUAAUUCGAUGCAACGCGUAGAACCUUACCUGGGUUUGACAUGGAUCGGGAGCGCUCAGAGAUGGGUGUGCCUCUUUUGGGGUCGGUUCACAGGUGGUGCAUGGCUGUCGUCAGCUCGUGUCGUGAGAUGUUGGGUUAAGUCCCGCAACGAGCGCAACCCUUGUUCACUGUUGCCAGCACGUUAUGGUGGGGACUCAGUGGAGACCGCCGGGGUCAACUCGGAGGAAGGUGGGGAUGACGUCAAGUCAUCAUGCCCCUUAUGUCCAGGGCUUCACGCAUGCUACAAUGGCUGGUACAGAGAGUGGCGAGCCUGUGAGGGUGAGCGAAUCUCGGAAAGCCGGUCUCAGUUCGGAUUGGGGUCAGCAACUCGACCUCAUGAAGUCGGAGUCGCUAGUAAUCGCAGAUCAGCAACGCUGCGGUGAAUACGUUCCCGGGGCU